CGAUAUCGACAAAACUCGUUAUUCUAAGAUCAAGAACCUGCUCGAGUGAUGCGACCAUGUGAAUGUAUUUUUUCCUCGGCAAACUCUUUAAAAACUUCUUAACAAGUUUUGACUCUUCUAUUGUCUCUCCUAAGGAGGCAGAUUUUGAAGAGAUUUCUGAAAGCUUGCCGACGAAGGUAUCAAUCGUAUCACUAUCCUUCAUCUUAAUUCUAUCAAACUCUGCCAUUAGAGUUUGUAGUCUAGCUUCUUUAACUCGUUCAGCUCCAACGUGUCUUGCUUUAAUUGCAUCCCACACU
rnacentral:lncRNA from 1 species